rnacentral:rRNA from 1 species
UACGAGGGGGGGCGAGCGUUGUUCGGAAUUAUUGGGCGUAAAGGGUGCGUAGGCGGUUUGGUAAGUCUUAUGUGAAAUCUAUGGGCUCAACUCAUAGUCUGCAUGAGAAACUGCCGGGCUUGAGUAUGGGAGAGGUGAGUGGAAUUCCUGGUGUAGCGGUGAAAUGCGUAGAUAUCAGGAGGAACACCUGUGGCGAAAGCGGCUCACUGGACCAUAACUGACGCUGAUGCACGAAAAGCUAGGGGGAGCAAACAGG